CCACCAGCGGCAGCACCAUCCGCAGCAGUAGAUCCACCUGCAGAUGUGUCAGUGUGUGGGCUAGACUGUGGUGGGCUGACACACUUGACACACCUUUUUCCAGAAGAUCUGACUGAAUUACAGGUUGAUGAUCUACUACCUCAGACUCAGUCUGAGUGUAUUGGGCAUAUAGGAGAAAGCAAGGUGUUGCGGCAGGAGAUGCAGUCGUUAUGGCUGGGCCGCCCAGUUGAAGCAACUAUAGUCAACAUGUGCUUGCAACUGGUUUGCAACAUGGGGAGGUGGAAGGGGAAGGAUGCAGCCAUUGCAUAUUCAGAUGAAUCUCUCAGCGUACCUG